GGGACUCGAUUAAACCUAAAGGCGCAAUGAAAGUAAAGGUCCGCCGCGCGCGGACCGAGGGAGGACGGGCCCGUCUACGGGCGGGCCCCGCACUCCCGGGGCGUCUCGCCCUCAUCGCGAGGAGAGGCGCACCCAGAGCGUACACGCUGGGACCCGAAAGAUGGUGAACUAUGCCUGGUCAGGACGAAGUCAGGGGAAACCCUGAUGGAGGUCCGUAGCGAUUCUGACGUGCAAAUCGAUCGUCGGAACUGGGUAUAGGGGCGAAAGACUAAUCGAAC
rnacentral:rRNA from 1 species